GUGAACGCUGGCGGCGUGGAUAAGUCAUGCAAGUCGAGUGGGUUUAGACCCACGGCAAACGAGGUAGUAACACGUAGGAACGUACCCCGAAGUCAGGCAUAUUCCAUCGAAAGAUGGUGCAAUUCCUGAUGGUCUCUAAGGAGUAAAGAAGCAAUUCGCUUCGGGAGCGGCCUGCGCAGUAUCAGCUAGUUGGUAGGGUAAUGGCCUACCAAGGCUAUGACGCUUAGGGGAGCUGAGAGGCUGACCCCCACCGAUGGAACUGAGAAACGGUCCUUACUCCUACGGGAGGCCGCAGACGAGAAUAUUCGACAAUGGACGAAAGUCUGAUCGAGCGACGCCGCGUGAUGGAUGAAGUCCUUCGGGACGUAAACAUCUUUUAUGAGGGAUGAAGUUUUGACAGUACCUCAUGAAUAAGGGGCUCCUAACUCUGU
rnacentral:rRNA from 1 species